CCUACGGGUGACAGCAGUGGGGAAUAUUGGGCAAUGGGCGCAAGCCUGACCCAGCAACGCCGCGUGAAGGAAGAAGGCUUUCGGGUUGUAAACUUCUUUUGUCAGGGACGAAGCAAGUGACGGUACCUGACGAAUAAGCCACGGCUAACUACGUGCCAGCAGCCGCGGUAAUACGUAGGUGGCAAGCGUUAUCCGGAUUUACUGGGUGUAAAGGGCGUGUAGGCGGGGAAGCAAGUCAGAUGUGAAAACUACGGGCUCAACCUGUGGCAUGAAGUUGAAACUGUAUGUCUUGAGUGUGGGGGAGGCAGUCGGAAUGCGGGGGGUAGCGGUGAAAGGCGUAGAUAUACGGAGGAACAC
rnacentral:rRNA from 1 species